rnacentral:rRNA from 1 species
UACGUAGGGCGCAAGCGUUAUCCGGAAUUACUGGGCGUAAAGGGCUUGUAGGUGGCCAACUAAGUCAGACGUGAAAUCCCUCGGCUUAACCGGGGAACUGCGUCUGAUACUGGAUGGCUAGAGUGUGGGAGAGGGAUGCGGAAUUCCAGGUGUAGCGGUGAAAUGCGUAGAUAUCUGGAGGAACACCGGUGGCGAAGGCGGCAUCCUGGACCACGACUGACACUGAAAAGCGAAAGCCAGGGGAGCAAACGGG